UGGGGAAUAUUGCACAAUGGGCGCAAGCCUGAUGCAGCCAUGCCGCGUGUGUGAAGAAGGCCUUCGGGUUGUAAAGCACUUUCAGCGAGGAGGAAGGUGGUGAACUUAAUACGUUCAUCAAUUGACGUUACUCGCAGAAGAAGCACUGGCUAACUCCGUGCCAGCAGCCGCGGUAAUACGGAGGGUGCAAGCGUUAAUCGGAAUUACUGGGCGUAAAGCGCACGCAGGCGGUUUGUUAAGUCAGAUGUGAAAUCCCCGGGCUCAACCUGGGAACUGCAUUUGAAACUGGCAAGCUAGAGUCUCGUAGAGGGGGGUAGAAUUCCAGGUGUAGCGGUGAAAUGCGUAGAGAUCUGGAGGAAUACCGGUGGCGAAGGCGGCCCCCUGGACGAAGACUGACGCUCAGGUGCG
rnacentral:rRNA from 1 species